UACGGAGGAUCCGAGCGUUAUCCGGAUUUAUUGGGUUUAAAGGGUGCGUAGGCGGCCUGUUAAGUCAGGGGUGAAAGACGGUAGCUCAACUAUCGCAGUGCCCUUGAUACUGAUGGGCUUGAAUGUACUAGAGGUAGGCGGAAUGUGACAAGUAGCGGUGAAAUGCAUAGAUAUCGUCAAGAACACCGAUAGCGAAGGCAGCUUACUGGGCUGUAACUGACGCUGAUGCACGAAAGUGUGGGGAUCAAACAGG
rnacentral:rRNA from 1 species